ACGCGACAUACACAAUAAAUAUAAGAAAACGGAAUGAAAAUCUUCGUUUUGUCGUAUUCUUUUCCUCCUCUUGGAUUUACUGUGGGUGUUCAUAGAGGUUCGAGGGCGCAUCAGCUUUCAGUGUGGCUUCAGCUUCAGCGGCAGCGCGUGCGUCCUCCUCGGCAGCCUUUGCGAUCUGUUCGAGGACGAAGUCGGGGAUCGGGUGGGGGAAGGCGGGAGCCACGGGCAGGGCGUCGGACUCAGCCUGGAAGCCGUUCUCGUCAGCGACGAACUUGACCUCGAUCACGGUUCCGUCAGGAGCGGUGUAG
rnacentral:lncRNA from 1 species